rnacentral:rRNA from 2 species
AUGCAAGUCGUACGCACUGGCCCAACUGAUUGAUGGUGCUUGCACCUGAUUGACGAUGGAUCACCAGUGAGUGGCGGACGGGUGAGUAACACGUAGGUAACCUGCCCCGGAGCGGGGGAUAACAUUUGGAAACAGAUGCUAAUACCGCAUAACAACAAAAGCCACAUGGCUUUUGUUUGAAAGAUGGCUUUGGCUAUCACUCUGGGAUGGACCUGCGGUGCAUUAGCUAGUUGGUAAGGUAACGGCUUACCAAGGCGAUGAUGCAUAGCCGAGUUGAGAGACUGAUCGGCCACAAUGGAACUGAGACACGGUCCAUACUCCUACGGGAGGCAGCAGUAGGGAAUCUUCCACAAUGGGCGCAAGCCUGAUGGAGCAACACCGCGUGAGUGAAGAAGGGUUUCGGCUCGUAAAGCUCUGUUGUUGGAGAGGAACGUGCGUGAGAGUAACUGUUCACGCAGUGACGGUAUCCAACCAGAAAGUCACGGCUAACUACGUGCCAGCAGCCGCGGUAAUACGUAGGUGGCAAGCGUUAUCCGGAUUUAUUGGGCGUAAAGCGAGCGCAGGCGGUUGCUUAGGUCUGAUGUGAAAGCCUUCGGCUUAACCGAAGAAGUGCAUCGGAAACCGGGCGACUUGAGUGCAGAAGAGGACAGUGGAACUCCAUGUGUAGCGGUGGAAUGCGUAGAUAUAUGGAAGAACACCAGUGGCGAAGGCGGCUGUCUGGUCUGCAACUGACGCUGAGGCUCGAAAGCAUGGGUAGCGAACAGGAUUAGAUACCCUGGUAGUCCAUGCCGUAAACGAUGAGUGCUAGGUGUUGGAGGGUUUCCGCCCUUCAGUGCCGGAGCUAACGCAUUAAGCACUCCGCCUGGGGAGUACGACCGCAAGGUUGAAACUCAAAGGAAUUGACGGGGGCCCGCACAAGCGGUGGAGCAUGUGGUUUAAUUCGAAGCUACGCGAAGAACCUUACCAGGUCUUGACAUCUUGCGCUAACCUUAGAGAUAAGGCGUUCCCUUCGGGGACGCAAUGACAGGUGGUGCAUGGUCGUCGUCAGCUCGUGUCGUGAGAUGUUGGGUUAAGUCCCGCAACGAGCGCAACCCUUGUUACUAGUUGCCAGCAUUAAGUUGGGCACUCUAGUGAGACUGCCGGUGACAAACCGGAGGAAGGUGGGGACGACGUCAGAUCAUCAUGCCCCUUAUGACCUGGGCUACACACGUGCUACAAUGGACGGUACAACGAGUCGCAAGCUCGCGAGAGUAAGCUAAUCUCUUAAAGCCGUUCUCAGUUCGGACUGUAGGCUGCAACUCGCCUACACGAAGUCGGAAUCGCUAGUAAUCGCGGAUCAGCAUGCCGCGGUGAAUACGUUCCCGGGCCUUGUACACACCGCCCGUCACACCAUGGGAGUUUGUAACGCCCAAAGUCGGUGGCCUAACCUUUAUGGAGGGAGCCG